rnacentral:misc_RNA from 1 species
CAUCAAUGAGAGGAUUCCGAGGACGAGGAAGCUUACUACCACUUGGUUUUCCAACUUCAAAGAUUGGUGGCAAAGCUAAUGAACUUGGUGCCCAUGUUGUUUCUCCAUGCAAGGUUAAUGAAUCCUGCUGAGGGUGAUCUUCUAGCAUAGUUGGUGUUGAUAUAGAUUUGUCAUGAGAAUCCCUUUUUUCUUCCGAAUUUUGCAAACUGUGUUCAGGUUCCUUUGCUUCUAAAAUUGAUUCGGGUGUCAAUUGGCUUGAGGGCUUGAUUUCCAGGCCAUGUGAGGGUACAGGAUCAUGCUCAGUGGGUAUAUGCUCUACAGUUGCCAAUGGUGAUAAUAGGUUUGGACUAGAUCCUAUUGGUCUUCCUCCUGAUGCAAGGAAACCAUCCUCAGGCCUCCCAUCAAUUAUUUCUGGUAAGGUCAAGAAUGGGUUCAAGGAUUGUCCUCCCUCUAAUGGAUGACAAACCGGUUGACUGUUUGCAUUGCUGAUAACAGUUGGCAUCUCCAAUGAGAGUGGAGUUGGCUGCAAGGAAUUUUCCACAGACUCUGACGAUAGGAAAUCAAAUUGUGAUUUCUCAUCAGCUGCAAAUGGCUGUAUUGGCAGCAAGGUGCCCUCACCAUGAUCAAUCCAUUCUUUAUGUGAAGCUGGUGGAGCAGGUUGAACCUUGCCUAGCCUCCAUUGCAUAGGAGGUAGGGGUGGCA